CAAAGAGGGAACAUGGAAGAAGGAGAGCAACACUGGCCUGGCCAUUUUAAAAGCAGCUCAAAAAGUGAGAGGGCAAGGUUGGAUCGUCUCUGCCAAAUCAGGGCGGUUGGAGGCUACAGUCGAAAGAGAUAGUAAGAAAGAUUAAACAUCUUGUCAACGCAUCUGCUUACUGCGAAGAAAUACAGCAGAAGGGGAAAAAAGAAAAGGAGAUCCAACAUGGAAGUUGUACUAAUUCAUAUCUAAAAUUACUAGAGAACUUGCAUCCUGUAAAUCUGCUCCCAGUGAAAGUGAGAAGGCUUAAUACAAAGACAAUGAGGUUAGCUUAUUAUUUAUGAGAUUCAUUAAAAAUUAUAUUUCACAUACAA